GAGGAGGAGGUCGAGGAGAGGGAGGACGGAGAGUAGCAGUCCUCCUCGAAAAUAUCAUCAGGCCCAGAGGAACCCUGUCAGGAGUAACAAUUAGACAGCCGCAGCACACCGGGAGCCUGAUGUGUGACCUGAUGUUAUUAGUCCUCUGUGCUCCUACUUGUCCACCCACUCUCUCCCAGCUCUUGAAGACUUUGUCCACCGCAGAGCUCCAACUUUGUUCUUGUCAUUUAAAGCAGCGCGGUGCACCUCCCACCAACGACCCGGACCCGAACGGACCCGCCCCAAAGGGACUUUAUGAACACAGCACAGGUCUAGCUUUGAGAGGGGACUGACUUAUAUUUAUUUAGACAUCCAUACCGUCUGACCAGCAGCACCCAGGGCACCUCAGCAAGACAGCAACACUCACUGAUUAAUUCAGAGUACAUUAGAACACAGUUUCAUGGAUUA